rnacentral:rRNA from 1 species
UACGUAGGAGGCAAGCGUUGUCCGGAAUUACUGGGCGUAAAGCGCGUGUAGGUGGUGGGACAAGUCUGCUGUGAAAGCGCCGGGCUCAACCUGGGAACUGCAUUUGAGACUGCUCUGCUCGGGUGCGGAAGAGGGAAGCGGAAUUUCCGGUGUAGCGGUGAAAUGCGUAGAUAUCAGGAGGAACACCUGUGGUGUAGACAGCUUACUGGACCAUUUCUGACGCUGAGACACGAAAGCGUGGGUAGCAAACAGG